GACGAACGCUGGCGGCGUGCUUAACACAUGCAAGUCGAACGGAAAGGCCCUGCUUUUGUGGGGUGCUCGAGUGGCGAACGGGUGAGUAACACGUGAGUAACCUGCCCUUGACUUUGGGAUAACUUCAGGAAACUGGGGCUAAUACCGGAUAGGAGCUCCUGCUGCAUGGUGGGGGUUGGAAAGUUUCGGCGGUUGGGGAUGGACUCGCGGCUUAUCAGCUUGUUGGUGGGGUAGUGGCUUACCAAGGCUUUGACGGGUAGCCGGCCUGAGAGGGUGACCGGCCCCAUGGGGCUGAGGGAACGCCCCGAACCCCUUGGGGGGGAAGGGGGGGGAAUAUUGCCAAAAGGGGCGGAGGCCUAGGUAAGAACCCCCGGUGCGGGAAAAACGCCUUUCGGGUGUGAACCCCUUUCGCCCUGGAACGACGCGGGAUGACGGGAAAUGGUAAAAAAGCCACGGCUAACUUCGUG
rnacentral:rRNA from 1 species